rnacentral:rRNA from 1 species
AGAGUUUGAUCCUGGCUCAGGAUGAACGCUAGCGACAGGCUUAACACAUGCAAGUCGAGGGGCAGCAUAAUGGAUAGCAAUAUCUAUGGUGGCGACCGGCGCACGGGUGCGUAACGCGUAUGCAACCUACCUUUAACAGGGGGAUAACACUGAGAAAUUGGUACUAAUACCCCAUAAUAUCAUAGAAGGCAUCUUUUAUGGUUGAAAAUUCCGAUGGUUAGAGAUGGGCAUGCGUUGUAUUAGCUAGUUGGUGGGGUAACGGCUCACCAAGGCGACGAUACAUAGGGGGACUGAGAGGUUAACCCCCCACACUGGUACUGAGACACGGACCAGACUCCUACGGGAGGCAGCAGUGAGGAAUAUUGGUCAAUGGACGCAAGUCUGAACCAGCCAUGCCGCGUGCAGGAUGACGGCUCUAUGAGUUGUAAACUGCUUUUGUACGAGGGUAAACGCAGAUACGUGUAUCUGUCUGAAAGUAUCGUACGAAUAAGGAUCGGCUAACUCCGUGCCAGCAGCCGCGGUAAUACGGAGGAUUCAAGCGUUAUCCGGAUUUAUUGGGUUUAAAGGGUGCGUAGGCGGUUUGAUAAGUUAGAGGUGAAAUUUCGGGGCUCAACCCUGAACGUGCCUCUAAUACUGUUGAGCUAGAGAGUAGUUGCGGUAGGCGGAAUGUAUGGUGUAGCGGUGAAAUGCUUAGAGAUCAUACAGAACACCGAUUGCGAAGGCAGCUUACCAAACUAUAUCUGACGUUGAGGCACGAAAGCGUGGGGAGCAAACAGGAUUAGAUACCCUGGUAGUCCACGCAGUAAACGAUGAUAACUCGUUGUCGGCGAUACACAGUCGGUGACUAAGCGAAAGCGAUAAGUUAUCCACCUGGGGAGUACGUUCGCAAGAAUGAAACUCAAAGGAAUUGACGGGGGCCCGCACAAGCGGAGGAACAUGUG